GCCUGUACGGCGACAUAGCUGAAGGUGUCAGCAUCCUGAAACACAGACGUGCUCUUCUUUUCCUGAGUGCUUCUCAUCAAGGCUAUUGUAUUUCACCGAAGAUGCAACUUUCUGAAACAAGAUGUCCCGAAAUGAUAGUUCGAAGAUGCAGCUUUAAAGAUGGCAGAAGUGGCACUUUAGGCAGAACCCAAUCACACCAUUGUGCUUGCCUGCCAUGUGGAUUCACAGACACUCUGGAGUCACAAACUGGGGCUCGCCCUUCUACACCCCUUCAGAGACUACUGUACGGUGUGAUUAACAAGAACGGAGGCUGAAGGAGAGCAUCCUGAUGAAGAGUGGACAUGUGCUGGACAGCAUGGAAUGUCUAUCGUCUAGCCCUGGGCACCAAAGGAAUGUCAAUAACUUGAAGUACCAUUCAAUACCUUCAGGAGGAGAGCAAUCAAGACGGUGGCAGGAGCUGUAAAUCAGGUCGCCCAGGGGUUUUUUUGAGUGAAUUUAGCUAAUUUCAAACUUUUGAAAGCUCAGCAUGUAAAACAGGGGUUGACCAUCUAUCUCAUUACGAAGAGCUAGUGCAUGGAUGUUCACUCACAAAGCAUCACAGACAAAGAAUUAGACUAAGAAGAUGAGCUGCUUGUUCUGGAACAUAUUCAAGGAAUGAGUGACUGAGCCAUUUUCAGAGAUGAAUAUCUGCAUUUUUAGGGAUAGAGUAUGGAAUGUCUAAUAAUUCUUACCAGUUUAUAUUUAUAUAUCAUUUUUCUGCUGAAAUAUACCACGAAGGCUCCAAACUGCCAACCAUAUAAAGGAAGGUCAAAUCACUCACUGUGAUGUUUGAGGCCCUUGAGAACAUUCCUCUGGUCGCUGACCUACAGUUUGUCUCCUACCACCCCCACUGAGCACCCACUUCCCAGCCUCCCUGCCAUCCAUUUGGCGGGUACCUUCUGGGGUCUUGGCCUUUCCUUUGCUCAUGCUGUUCUUUCCCAGGAUGUCCUUUUGGCUUUCCUUGACUUAGUAAAUGCAAUUCAUUUUUCAGUAUGAAUUGUUGAACAUUACCUUGCUUUCAGGCUUUCUCACUCUCCCAGAAAUUAUUUUUCAAAGCUGACAUUCACUAUUAGGAAUUUGCAGCCGUACAAGUAGCCAGGGUCCACUCUACUUGGAUGGUCCACGCCCACGCCCUGUGAGAGGUUGAAACUAGGAGACACCAUCCUGUGGUCACCGUGACACAUCGGAUGCCGUCUUCAGCUUUGUUUUCUGAGCUCCUAUAUCUGCCAGCCAACCAUGAGCCCCUCAAGGUCAGGACCAAGUCCAGUCCAAUUCAGAUCCCCAGGGCUUAGUAAAAAGCCUGUCACCUUCGUCGCUAUCUGGAAAUCUGAGUUGAAUCAAUGAACGGAGUUUCAGUGUUUCUGGUUCUAUCCUUACCAGUCAGUUCAACCUUUUAACUUCAGUAGGCAGGUACCUCCUUCAUGCUUAGAGACGUUAGCUGAAAUUGGUAUAAUAAACAGAUGCUGUAUUCAUUACUACUUUGGAGGUCUUUGAGAACAUUCUGAGAAGACAAUUAGUUGAUAUAAACUUUCAAAGAGGCAGGGAUACCUACGACCAUGAUCCUCAGAGGGGAGAUUUUAGAGUCUGACAGAUAGAGUCUACUAUCCAACUUAUGAGUUCAACAAUCCGACUUUGAAUUCCAGCUAUGCCUAGGGCUGGCCAUGUCAGUUGACUGGGUUAUUACUGUAUCUAAACCUCAACUUCCUCAUCUAUAAAAAGGGGAUAAAAGUGGUAUCUUCCUUGUAGGGUAAUGGGAAGGAGAAUUUCCUAGGGCUUGGCAUAGGAAAUACUAAGCACAGUGCCUGGCAUAAAAGUCGGUAUUGUUGUUGCUGAGUGUUCUGGGUUUGACGACCGUAACAACACUGGAUUCAUGAACUACUAACUGUUGUAACUUCCCCCAGCUGCUCACGUUGCACAAAGACAUAAUUCUAGUGCCUGGUUCCUAAAAGGCGUUAUAAGAUGUUGGAUAUACUCAAACAGGUAUUUUAGUGUUUGGAGCAUUUGGAUUCCAAAAGAAAUGUGUUUUUAUAUUUAUGUUUAACAUUUGCUGUUUUUGCCUCAAAUCCAGCAACAAAUCCACUUGACCCAUUUGUGUUAAGCCCUUUAUAUGAGCAGAGCACUGUGGCUUGCACUUACUCAAAUCCAAAUUAAGGUCUAAAUCUGAAAGAAAGAAAAUCACCUUUUCAAAGAGCCAAACUCCAUGAGGAGAGAAAGUAGGCCAAAUACCUACUGGACAAGCUGUUGGAAGGGACACACCAUUUCUUUUAACUUGUGUUACUUUGCUACCGGCACUAAAAUAAAUCCAUUUGUGCCAACACCUAUUAUUUCCCCACUUCCGAAGAAGGUCAGCACACAAACAAUACAGAAGAUUCUGGAUAUGACCUCAUAACAAUGAUUACUUCUCAUGAAGUUUAAAUUCUGGUUCUGCAUCUUCCUGACUGUGUGAUUUUGCCAUAUUUCAACCUUUCUGAUGUCCAGUUCUUGUUUUCCAGUCUCUAAAAUGGAGAUAAUAAUGUAACCUCAUCCCUUAAUGUGUGACUCAGUUUUCUUUCAAACUUGUAUUACUCCAAACAAUAGCAAUAAUAACAUCUACCUUGGUGUGUGAGUGUGUGAUGAAUGCCCACCAAAGUUCAGCAGUUUUUCAUAAAUAGUUAUCAAUUUUCUGUUUGCCUUUGGU